GGUGGAUCACUGGGCUCGUGUGUCGAUGAAGAGCGCAGCCAACUGUGUGAAUUAAUGCAAACUGCAUACUGCUUUGAACAUCGACAUCUUGAACGCAUAUUGCGGCCAUGGGUUAGCCUGUGGCCACGCCUGUCCGAGGGUCGGCUUAUAAACUAUCACGACGCCCAAAAAGUCGUGGCUUGGGUUUUGCCAGCUGGCGUGAUCUCCUCUAUGAGUAAUCAUGUGAGGUGCCAGAUCUAUGGCGUUUCCCUAAUGUAUCCGGAUGCACCCUUGUCUUGGCAGAAAGCCGUGGUGAGGUGCAGUGGCGGAAUCGUGGUUUAAUAAUCGGGUUGGUACUCAGUUGUCAGUGUGUUCGGCGAUCCCCUAGUCGGCACACAUGAUUUCUGGGAUAAUUCCAUACCAGGCACGUUCCGUUACUGUUACUUUGUCAUUGGUUUGAUGCUGAACUUGGUCAUGUGUCUGAUGCUAUUUCAUAUAACGACGGUACCCUUCGUGGUCUGUCUUCCUGACCUCGGUUCAGACGUGAUUACCCGCUGAAUUUAAGCAUA
rnacentral:rRNA from 1 species